UACGUAGGGGGCUAGCGUUGUCCGGAAUCAUUGGGCGUAAAGAGCGUGUAGGCGGUCCGGUAAGUCAGGGGUGAAAUCCCGGAGCUCAACUCCGGAACUGCCCUUGAAACUGCAGUGCUAGAAUUCUGGAGAGGCGAGUGGAAUUCCGAGUGUAGAGGUGAAAUUCGUAGAUAUUCGGAAGAACACCAGUGGCGAAGGCGACUCGCUGGACAGACAUUGACGCUGAGGUGCGAAAGCCAGGGGAGCAAACGGG
rnacentral:rRNA from 1 species